UCAGAUGUGGUGUAGCGGUAACACAGCCUCUUUAUGUAGGUCUCAACGAAGCAUUCUUCUAAGGCAGUCCUGGGUUCGAAUCCCAGUGUCUGAA